CGCGUAUUUCACCACGAAAUCCAUGUUCACACGGGCGAAUAUUUACCGACAGCCGGUUUGGCCGAGAAGAUGGAAUGACAAAAGCACACUGAGUAAUGCACUCGAACAACCCUUUUACUACCGUUGCAAAAUAUUAUGAGAUGUGGCUUUGGUUGAAAGCAAUAUGUGCAGUGCCAGUUUACCUACUUUCUACUGAGGGCAAGGUUGCUGGAGAUUUUCUCAGACCAAGAGGCAUGCAAUGAUGUCUCGUCUAUCUCAAGACUCUUUUUCCUUGCAAACCCAAGACGGCAGUACACAGAGACUGCAUUCUAAGAAAAAAAACAUUAGUCAUUAUUUUUAUUAUUAGCAUCGUCUUAUCUCAAUGCUCUCAUUUCUUACAAAUUCAAAUCCCAAGAAACACAAGUCGAGAAACAGACAACUGCUUGAACUGCUACUCCUGCUAUCCAUGUGCCAGCCUUAUCUCUCGCACCCAGCAUUACACACCAAUUAUUUAGUUUAUCCCACUGUCUAUUCGUAAUGGUAAUGUUGGAUAAAAACAUAUUUUCUCAGGUCUAAAUCAUCAUUUGCUAUGGUACCUUAACAAGCUGAAGGUCAAUUUGCAGCACAUUUGCAAGCUAGGAUAGAGAAAACAUUUCUUAGAAAAAUAAAAUACAAAGGAUUAAAUAAAUAAAUAAUAAAAGAAAAGAAAAGAAAGGCUCUCGGGCUCUCAAGAAGUCAGAAUAUAUUAAGCUUAUGCAUUCACAGUUUUCAAAAAGUAAAAACUUACUUCAGCAAUGUUUGUGUGCUCAUCAAUUGACACAAAUAUCUUGUACAGUAAAGUCUCAAAAUAGUCUCCCAGUACCCUGUUCAUUACAAAGUUCUCCAAAGGGGGUACUGAAAAAUUAACACAAAAGAACAGCAUUAUUAUGGUGCAGGGAGAAGCAAUGAUUAAUUACUUUUACUGCUACUUUUUGCACAUACUUAAAUUUGCGUUUUUUUUUUUGCAAUUUCAAAAGUUUAUAAACUGAAAUCUCCUAAAAAAUAAUAAUGGGUGAGCUUUGAUCUUGUCAAAUUCAAUGGACAUAGAAAAAUCAUUUAUUUAAUCUGCUUGUGAGGACAAGUACAGUAAUAUGAUAAUUGAUAAUUGCUCAGAGAAAAGAACACUUUUACAUUAUUGUAAGACUGACUUUUAAGGAAAUUCAGGUGUUGCUAUAAGGGA